ensembl:lncRNA
UAGAGGAGGAGGUAUUAGCAGCAGGGUUGGAGGAGGAGGUAGAAGCAGCAGGGUUGGAGGAGAAGGUAGAAGCAGCAGGGUUGGAGGAGGAGGUAGAAGCAGCAGGGUUGGAGGAGGAGGUAGAAGCAGCAGGGUUGGAGGAGGAGGUAGAAGCAGCAGGGUUGGAGGAGGAGGUAGAAGCAGCAGGGUUGAAGGAGGAGGUAGAAGCAGCAGGGUUGGAGGACGUAGUAGCAGCAGGGUUGGACGGUUGUAGGGAAGGAAGUAGCAGCAGGGUUAGAGGAGGUAGAAGCAGCAGGGUUGGAGGAGGUAGUAGCAGCAGGGUUGAAGGAGGAGGUAGAAGCAGCAGGGCUGGAUGAGGAGGUAGAAGCAGCAGGGUUGGAGGAGGAGGUAGAAGCAGCAGGGUUGGAGGAGGAGGUAGAAGCAGCAGGGCUGGAUGAGGAGGUAGAAGCAGCAGGGCUGGAUGAGGAGGUAGAAGCAGCAGGGCUGGAUGAGGAGGUAGAAGC